GACUGCCCCAUUUCAGCCAACUAAAUGCAAAACCACUUCAAAAAGGGGUGGGGGUAGGGGUGGGAAGGAGAAAGACAACAGAGCUGAUGAGGGUGGGAAAACUUAACCUCUGAUGUCACAAUCCCACGACUCAAUAGUGAGUGACCACCCAUAAGGUUAUAGAGCAGAAGAAGGAGGAAUAAGCACCUGAGCCAUAAAAGUGCUGUGACAUCGAGGAGGAUUUCUAUGCUGAGUUUGAGUUGAUUUUAAUUCAAUUAAAGUCAAAUUAAAAUGUAGUAGCCUUUAAGGAUUUUUUUUUAAGUUGACAGGUGAUAAACACCUGAAGAUGUGAUUUUAAUGUAGCAAUCAUUUCUUAGCUAUUUUAAGACGAGGAAAAAAAAACACCUUCCAAAGAAUAUGCUCCUACUGUUGGUUCCUCGACCACAAUAAAUAUCAUUUAGAAUUAAUAUCGUGAGAAGAACAGAAAUGACUGUUGUGCAUGAAUCUUGCAGAGGGCCCAGGAUUUUAAAUGAUGAACACUGAAAUUGUCAUGAAUUUGUAGAUUUUCUCUAAGCACAGAAAGACCUUUAAGCUACUGUUGCUUAGAAUUGGGGAAGAAGGGGUUAAGGCCAAAAAAGGACACAAGAUUUGGGGGCAAAGCCUCUAAAAGGAUUUUUUAUCUGUCACAAGUUUCCAAGAAAAACUUUCUUUGUAAUGUUAAAAAUCAUUUCUCUAAAUACAAUCAAGCAAGAAAGUGUCUACAAUGAGCAAAAUACAGAAUAACAGUAGCCCCAUCGAAGCCUGGAUCUGGUCCAGGGUGCUUGAUUUUUGCAGCAGCUUUCUCCUCGGUACCCAAGUGGAAUAGAAAGAAAAAAAAUGGCCUGGAAAGCCCUCCACCAGCCCAGAGAACUGCUGAGGGGCUGAGCAGCCUUGGCCCCUUGAACUAGGCCAGAAAGACUAAAGGCACCACCUGCCAUUUGGAUCAUACCAUCUUUUCUUCACACAGAAAACCUUAUCCACUGAGGAAUCUCAAGUCCCGGACCAUCCAGAAAUGCUCUUUCAAAAAAGGCUUUCUUUUCCCCCCUCCUCAGCUCUUAGCAGAGCAUGAGGGCAGAUUUCAGAUGGGAAGGGAAACCUCGUCCCCUCUCUGAAUAUAGUGAUAUGAGGGGAAAAGGG